AGUCACCAGUUGGCUGGGGAUGGAGGGGAGGGGAGGAUGAAGAGGAUCUCCUCGCAGAAAACUAGCAAGCAAACCAGAAGAAGGCAAAAAGCUUUCCGGAUGGAAGAACAUCUUUCCCACCGAAGAGAGAAUCUUCUGUGCUUAACAUCCCUGGUUUCUCUGGAGGUCUGUGGAUGCGAGGACCUCCAUGCUAUAUUCCCAACAGGGAGGACCAUAAUGAACAGAUCUAUUCAUUGCUGCUUCAUGUAGUCCUUUUUAUUUCUUGAUUCCAGAGCUGGAAUGUAAGAUCAAAUUUCCAAUUCCAGUGCCAGCAAAAGUGCAUCUGAUACCUCAUUGAUCCCUGUUAUAAGUGCAGAGAAGAUGUUAAAUCACGAAGCAUGAGUUUCUAGAAAUAAAAAUUACCAUGAAGUUGUUGCUUCCCAUGAGAUUCAGAACCCUACGUCUUUAAUGAAGACCUUAUGAUGCUAUAGCAGAGCCACGUGGUGUCUUGUGAGGACUCUAAGCAAGACUAUUCAUUUGAAGCUAUGGUAGAUUCUGCUUGGCAUCUUCUUCCUCCUCAUCAAAAGCCACUCCACACCACAGCCAUCUUCCUCUCACAGCCCCAACAGGUCUGCAGAAUCUAGGGGCGAAAGACAUGGCUCCAGGUGUGGGACAGGAGCUCUCCAGAGAACCCCAGCAUGCAUCUCUUCAAGGGUCACUAUUUGAAGCAGCAAAGAGGGUCAGGGAGGGAGAUGGGAGUGUACUUGCCAACUGGUUGAUCCUCGGGCCUUAUGGGUAAAAAAGUUCAUGCACUGUGUAUUCAUUUAUUUUGAAUGCUGCUGCUCCAGGGGAUAAGAGGCCAUCAUGGCAGAAAGGCACAGAAGCAACUGACAGAGCAGGCAUGGCAGCCAGAACAGGAAGAAGGGAGUCACAUCUUCAGCAGAAAAAGUGAGACAGAGAGCUGAACUGUAAGCUGGGAAAGGAUACAAACUCUCAAAGUCCACCCCCAGUGAUGUUCUUCCUCCAUCAGUGCUGCACCAUCUCCUCAAACAGCGUCACCAAUUAGAAGACCAAGUGUUAAAAGACGGGAACCUAUAGGGGACAUUUCUCAUUCAAACAGCCACACAGGGCCAGGACUGAGAAGUAGACAGAAACUGGACAAAAGUUGGGUCAUUCCUGACUGGGGAGGGUAUGGAUGAGGGGAGCGGCUACAAUGUCAAACCCAUUUAUCUAGUGUCUCAGCAGAAUGAAAGACUUCUGCAACUUGAGGCCUCCAAGUGUGGAUUAGAUUCUAGGUCAGCAAGAAGAGGCGUGUUCAAUCCACCACAUAGUGACUAAAAGUGUUUUCCUAAGCAGCAACAGGGAUGGCAAUAAUGACAAGGUGCAGAAUGAAACACGCAUUAAAAAUAGUCUUUUCAAAAGAACAGAAGUGCCAUUGUUCUGGCCAGACUACUCAAGAAGUACUUAUUCAGAUCUCCGUCUGUACUGAUGGUCAGGGAGCCCUUCAUGGACACUGCUGUCACUCUCUUUGUUUUUCCUUACCCACUCCUGGUCUCCAUGUUCCUGGCAUUUUCCUCCUCAGGCAAUCUUUGGGAUUCGGCUUUCUGGCUUUCGUUCCUCAGCACCUCAGAAGGGGAGAGACAGAAGGAUAAGGGAGCUGAGGUCUAGGUGAGCCCCUGUGAUUUCUCAGCCCACAGUACCCACUGAGGAAGACUUGUCCCCCAAAAGGUCGAAUGAUCAAACUCCAGUAAGCCUUUCAUGCCUCUAGGUUGCUAAGCAACAAAUACUUCAAGCUUGGAAAUCUUUAUCCAUACCGGAUAUAUUAUCCUGGCAAAUUGGACUUUCAGAUCUGGCAGCAAUGGAAAGAGUAACUUCUUUAAAAAUAGAGACAAUUUAGAUGAUUUCAAAGACAUCUGUUCUCUUUUUCCAGCGUGCCCGACUCUUCUUUCACUAAGCACAUGGGAUCCAAACAUUUCACGUGGAGGAAGCCCAAGGUCUCUGAGGAAAGACCCUUUUUAGUCACAAAAUCCCAGCCACAUAGAGAGAGGAUUGCCAGGUGGAAAGGCCUGGCAACCUUGAAUAGCCAAGGAGGUGGUACUAGGGCCCAUCUUCUUCAUUGAUUUGGCCUUUUCUAACCUAGUGUAUUUCUCUUCCUUCUCUAUCCAAUUCUUGUCCUCCCUUCCAGUAUGUGCUUGUGUGCUUUCUCUUCCUCCCUCUGCCUCUGCCUCUCUCUCUUUCUCUCCUCUUCCUCCCUCUUUUCCUCAUUCUUAAUAUGCUCUCUUUUUCUCUAACCUGCCUUCCCUCACAACAAGACAACACAUGAACAAGGAGCACCGGGGAGGCUACCGACCGCAUUUUUUGAUCCCACUGCCCAUCACCUCCUUGGACCCUGGAGGUAGCCCUUCCUCCUUCGCUCAGUAUUUAUAGCUAGGGUGAUCUCAGGGCUCA